rnacentral:rRNA from 1 species
UCAACCUUCCGGGCUUGGGGUUUAGUGGCGACGGGUGAGUAACACGUGGGCAAUCUGCCCUGCACUCUGGGACAAGCCCUGGAAACGGGGUCUAAUACCGGAUACUGACCUGCCAAGGCAUCUUGGCGGGUCGAAAGCUCCGGCGGUGCAGGAUGAGCCCGCGGCCUAUCAGCUUGUUGGUGAGGUAAUGGCUCACCAAGGCGACGACGGGUAGCCGGCCUGAGAGGGCGACCGGCCACACUGGGACUGAGACACGGCCCAGACUCCUACGGGAGGCAGCAGUGGGGAAUAUUGCACAAUGGGCGAAAGCCUGAUGCAGCGACGCCGCGUGAGGGAUGACGGCCUUCGGGUUGUAAACCUCUUUCAGCAGGGAAGAAGCGAAAGUGACGGUACCUGCAGAAGAAGCGCCGGCUAACUACGUGCCAGCAGCCGCGGUAAUACGUAGGGCGCAAGCGUUGUCCGGAAUUAUUGGGCGUAAAGAGCUCGUAGGCGGCUUGUCGCGUCGGUUGUGAAAGCCCGGGGCUUAACCCCGGGUCUGCAGUCGAUACGGGCAGGCUAGAGUUCGGUAGGGGAGAUCGGAAUUCCUGGUGUAGCGGUGAAAUGCGCAGAUAUCAGGAGGAACACCGGUGGCGAAGGCGGAUCUCUGGGCCGAUACUGACGCUGAGGAGCGAAAGCGUGGGGAGCGAACAGGAUUAGAUACCCUGGUAGUCCACGCCGUAAACGGUGGGCACUAUGUGUGGGCAACAUUCCACGUUGUCCGUGCCGCAGCUAACGCAUUAAGUGCCCCGCCUGGGGAGUACGCCCGCAAGGCUAAAACUCAAAGGAAUUGACGACGGGGGCCCGCACAAGCGGCGGAGCAUGUGGCUUAAUUCGACGCAACGCGAAGAACCUUACCAAGGCUUGACAUACACCGGAAAGCAUCAGAGAUGGUGCCCCCCUUGUGGUCGGUGUACAGGUGGUGCAUGGCUGUCGUCAGCUCGUGUCGUGAGAUGUUGGGUUAAGUCCCGCAACGAGCGCAACCCUUGUCCCGUGUUGCCAGCAACUCUUCGGAGGUUGGGGACUCACGGGAGACCGCCGGGGUCAACUCGGAGGAAGGUGGGGACGACGUCAAGUCAUCAUGCCCCUUAUGUCUUGGGCUGCACACGUGCUACAAUGGCCGGUACAAUGAGCUGCGAUACCGCAAGGUGGA